rnacentral:rRNA from 1 species
GAGCAUCCUAAGGCCAGCGAGAGAACUGUUGUUAAGGAACUCGGCAAAAUGACCCCGUAACUUAGGGAUAAGGGGUGCCACCAUCAGGUGGCCGCAGAGAAUAGGCCCAAGCGACUGUUUACCAAAAACAUAGGUUUCUGCUAAGUCGCAAGACGAUGUAUAGGAGCUGACGCCUGCCCGGUGCUGGAAGGUUAAGGGGAUCUGUUAGAGCAAUCGAAGCAGUGAACUUAAGCCCCAGUAAACGGCGGCCGUAACUAUAACGGUCCUAAGGUAGCGAAAUUCCUUGUCGGGUAAGUUCCGACCCGCACGAAAGGCGUAACGAUUUGGGCACUGUCUCAACAACAGACUCGGUGAAAUUGUAAUUCCGGUGAAGAUGCCGGAUACCUGCGACAGGACGGAAAGACCCCAUGGAGCUUUACUGUAGCUUGACAUUGGGUCUUGGUACUACAUGUACAGGAUAGGUGGGAGGCUUUGAAACCAGGACGCCAGUUUUGGCGGAGCCAUCCUUGGGAUACCACCCUUGUAGUACUGGGACUCUAACCAUAGGCCAUGAAUCUGGUCUUGGGACACUGUCAGGUGGGCAGUUUGACUGGGGCGGUCGCCUCCCAAAAGGUAACGGAGGCGCUCAAAGGUUCUCUCAGUACGGUCGGAAAUCGUACGUAGAGUGUAAAGGCAAAAGAGAGCUUGAUUGCAAGACAUACAGGUCGAGCAAGGAUGAAAAUCGGACUUAGUGAUCCGGUGGUUCUGCGUGGAAGGGCCAUCGCUCAACGGAUAAAAGCUACCCUGGGGAUAACAGGCUUAUCUCCCCCAAGAGUCCACAUCGACGGGGAGGUUUGGCACCUCGAUGUCGGCUCAUCACAUCCUGGGGCUGUAGUAGGUCCCAAGGGUUGGGCUGUUCGCCCAUUAAAGUGGUACGCGAGCUGGGUUCAGAACGUCGUGAGACAGUUCGGUCCCUAUCCGUCGCAGGCGUAGGAAAUUUGAGAAGACCUGUCCUUAGUACGAGAGGACCGGGAUGGACGUACCUCUGGUGUACCAGUUGUUCUGCCAAGGGCAUGGCUGGGUAGCUAUGUACGGAAUGGAUAAGCGCUGAAAGCAUCUAAGCGCGAAGCCAACUUCAAGAUAAGAUUUCCCACCGCAAGGGUAAGACCCCAGAAAGACUAUCUGGUUGAUAGGUCGAAGGUGUAAGUGCAGCAAUGUAUUUAGCUUAUCGAUACUAAUAGGUCGAGGACUUGACCAA